UGUGAGACUAAUGUUGAGUGAAAAGAGAAUCGAGUGUAUAUGCUUGGAAGAGUUCUGCAAACCAAUUUAUCUUUCUUAAUCAAUAUUGAUUCAAACCGUAUUCAGUAAACAUGUAGACAUUCGAUUUAUCGAAUGCUAUCAUGGUAUCAGACUUAGAAAUCAUGAGUUUCCGAGGGUAUCGAUCCUAUCUUCCACUGAUUAAAUCUUAAAUUCUUUAUCAAUUUCUUCUUCUGCUGUUCUUCUUCAUCAUCUUCAAUUCAGGUGAAGAUUCAAGGAGUUCGUAUGGAGAAUUGCUACUGGUGAUUUCUUGGUGUGAGGUUUGGAUUUGAUCCUGAUACUUACUGCAACGUCGUCAAUUAGGAUUAAGCAUGUAUUUUGGAUCUAAAAUUCAAUUUUAGGGUUUGAGCUCUUGGUUAUUUCAAUCUCAUGUUGGUGUAUGGAUUGAAAUCUCUUACCUCAUCAACUAUCAUGUGGAUCUCUGCUGAUUCCUGGAUCUAUUUGGUCUGAGCAUGCCUAUUUCUGCUACAAUAGUUAGUUAGGAAGAAGCUUAAUGUUGUUCCAUUGAAUAGUGGGGAAAGAUUCUUCUUAAAUCCAGUAGAAUGUUGGGGUACGUGUAUGUGUUGAUUGUUUGCUGCACCAUUGAGUGCUUAAUUUUGCUUCGGUUAGCUCCUCCUCUUAAUGUUACUUUGGUACAGUCCUCACAGUAGUGGUAUGUGAGUGAGUUGGUUUGUGUGUGUAAUGAUGGAACUGAGGAUGCUGUUUCGGAAUUGAAAUUGGUGAGAUAUAUAAGUACAGAUUGAAGUUGUCCUUGAUGAGUCUGUGCUCAAUUCUGAGUAUAUCCUGUUGUUCUUUAUCUUUUCUCAUUUUCAGUGUUCUUCCUUUCUUUUGCUGCAUAAUAAUGGUACUUCAUGAGUACUACAAUAAGAGUUUACAAUAAAUUGGAUUGUAAGUUGGUUCUUAAGAUUUCUGCAAGUGCUGAUUGGAUUAUGUGUACUUCUAAAGUUGAUACAUUUGCAAGGGGAUCCACAUCUUUGUCUUUACAGUAUACUUUUAUUUAACAAGCUCUAGUGCAGAUAUCUUGGUGGUUCAUUGUUAUUCUCUGUGGUUUCUUCCAUAUAAGUGGUUCAAUCUUCUUUUGCCACAGUUUUGAAGCUUCUUUCAACUACUUGUUUAGGAUCUGCAAGUGUUAUCUUCAGCUUAUUACUUCUCAAACUUCAACAGCUCCAACCACUACAGUUGUGCCUUCUCAGAUGCUGAGGUAUACUGAGAAUGAUGAGAUAUGUUGUUAUGAGGUGAUUCUACAUGUUGGUUUGCUGCUUUGAAUGUUGCCUGAAUUUUUUUGUUUUAUCUACUACUACAACAGCUCCAGCUAUCAGCUAUGUGAUUCUUCUUCUUAUCAUUGCUCCUGCAUCAACAACUACUGCUUUUGCUGCCCCUAUAGAUAACUAUGUGUUGAAUCUGUUCGUAAUGUGUUGGUUUGUUGAAGUUCAAGAGUAUACACCAUUAGAUUCUGCCUUUCUCUGCACCAACUAGUCCUGCACUGCUAUAUCAACUAUUUUUUGUUGUUGCCUGCCUACUUUGGUUCUUUGCACACUCUCCGUUGAAUUUCUUUAAUGGAGCUGAGGCAUUUACAUGGAGUUGUUCUACAGCGUAGUCGACAAUUUCAGCUUGGUCAUCUCUUUGUCAUUGGUAUGUGAUUUCUGCUACUUCUCUUUACUACUUCUGGCCUACUCAAAGUACUUAAACCAGCUGCAACACCAACUACUUCGGAUACUGUCAGUAUGCUUUAUGUGUAUUCUACAACAAUUGCACCUUCUUAGAAUUACUAUAUCCUACUGUCGUUGAUGCUUUCUUACAUCCACUACUACUGCAACAACAUUUGCUGCCUUGUCUUUCAGUCAAUGUGUGUGUGAAUGAAGGUAUGUGCAAUCUCAAGUCGCUUGCAGCCCCCUUGAGCUUGAGUGAGGGUGAUAGCAUGUGUGUGUGUGAAUGAAUGUAUGUAUGUGAGAGUAAGGUGUACUGAGAGUGUAAGUGAGUCUGUUAUGAAUGUUUGUCGCGAGAUCGUGUGAGACUAAUGUUGAGUGAAAAGAGAAUCGAGUAUAUAUGCUUGGAAGAGUUCUGCAAACCAAUUUAUCUUUCUUAAUCAAUAUUGAUUCAAACCGUAUUCAGUAAA